CCAGUACUUCAUGUGGGUGUAUGUGCGAUCGUGAGAAGGGGGACAGGAGGAGCUUUCCCCUCAAAACCCUAACAUCCUAAAUUCAUCAAAUUGGAAGGGAAAUUGAAGUGUAAAUUGAUGCAUGUAUCAAGAUUCAUGAUCAUCUAGUGUUCUUUUAACACAAAGAGCGAAGAAGGAAGAAGGCACGGGUCAUUCCAAAACACAAGUAGUGCAAGACCACAGUAAAUCCUCACUUUAGGCGAUUUGGAGAAUUGGAGCGAGCACGUGUCUAUGUCAUGUUAUACCAAACGCUUCCGCUAGAUUAUUCUCAUCCUUUUGGUCCAUGACUUGUUAUUUUAUCCAACUUUUUUAGUAGUUGUACAUUUGUAAAACUUGUCGUCUUUGCUUUUGGUAGUUUUAUGUCAACGGGUUCGUAGAAUGUUAUUUGAAUGAUUAUGUUAAAAACAGGGGGCACGUUCGUUUUACGAACGGGUCAUGCCCAAUUUUUGUAAAAAUUAUUAUGUAACAAAGUUGGUAUUUUUGAUGUCUCAUAAA